rnacentral:rRNA from 1 species
ACGGAGGGUGCGAGCGUUAUUCGGAAUUACUGGGCGUAAAGCGCGCGCAGGCGGGGUAGCAAGUCUGUGGUGAAAGCCCGCGGCUUAACCCCAGAACUGCCUUGGAUACUGUCAUCCUUGAGUAUUGUAGAGGAAGGGGGAAUUUCCGGUGUAGAGGUGAAAUGCGUAGAGAUCGGGAGGAACACCAAUGGCGAAGGCAGCUUACUGGACGGUUACUGACGCUGAGACGCGAAAGCGUGGGGAGCAAACAG